rnacentral:lncRNA from 1 species
AUGAUGACAUGCACAACUAGACUAGAACUUUUAUCUAAUUGUGUCUUCCACUAUUUUAUCAAACUUCAUACCCCUCAAAUAUAAAAAUUGAGAAACAUACUAAUGUCUCUUAGUGGGGUUGAGAUCUCUAUUCCUCAUAAAUACCUUGUGGAUAGCACAAUAAGUAUUCAUGAGUUCAAGAAUAGAUAACUCUUUACCAAUUGUACAUCUACAAUUCUUAACAUCUUUCUUUUUAGCCUCU